UUAAAAAACAGAAAUUUAUUCUCUCAAAGUUCUGGCUAGAAGUCUGAAGUCAAGGUGUCAGUAGGUCCACGCUGUCUCUGAAGGCUCAAGGUGGGAGUCCGUUCCACGCCUUUCUCUUAGCUUUUGGUGUUGCCAGCAAUCCUUGAUGUUACUUGGCUUAUAGACACAGCUCUCCAAUCUCUGCUUCCAUUGUCACAUGACAUUCUCCUGGUGUGUGCCCUUGUGUAUCUCUUCCUCUUCUUAUAAUGACACCAGUCAUAUUGGAUUAAGGGCCCAUCCUACUCUAGUAUGACCUGAUCUUAACUAAUUAUAUCUGCAAAGACCCUAUUUCCAAAUAAGAUCACAUUCGUAGAUACCAGGGUUAGGGCUUGAGCAUCUCUUUUUGGGGAACACAAUUCUACCCACUGCAGCAUGUACCCCUACUGCUUCUAUGAAUACAGAACUCUACAGGCUGUCAUUAAUUGCCAAAGCUUUCUGUGAGGCUCUUUUUGUUAGGUAAAAGUAGGAUGCAGAUGCAGGGUACAGUCACAUACACACACCAUUACUGACCUCAUAUUCCCCCAAGAAAGCUGGGUUUUAUUGACCCUGCUCUGUUGUUCACUCCCACAACUGCGUCCGCAUUCAGGGCCAAGUGCUUGGAGGACAGAGAGAAAAGGCCAAUGGGGAUUUGCCCCACCUUUUGGUACUAUUGCUCCUCUGAUUAGAGAAGAACAUUCCCCUCCCUAACAGUUUUAGGUGUCUGGGGCCCCCUUUGCCACCAUGGUCUACCAGGACACCUGUUUACAGUUCCUGAAACUUGGAACACUGCACUGAUGCCCACUUCUCCUCUCUCCACCCCUUCACUCUUUCCACCCCACUAAGGCCAGGCAAGGUUAUUCUGGAGUUUAAACAAAAUGGUAAGCUCUCCACUGGUUUGGUGGUGCUUCGAGAGCUGAUCCUCCUCCCCAGUCCUUUUCUGUUUUUCAGAGUUCCUAAGUUGCAUUCUGUUCAAGUUUUAUAACUAUAUUCAGUGGGGGAGAGCCAGAGGGGUCUUGCUUAUGUCAUUUUCCCUAGAACUGGAACCCCACUACCCAGAAAUCAACACUGCCAAUAUUUUGGAGUCUUUUUGUCCAGUGUAUAUUCUGGACACACACACUCACUGUUGAAAUCACACCCUAUGUACAGUUUAGUCAUUUACUUCUUUCAAUAUCAUUGUGAGAAGUUUCCAAAAUAUU
rnacentral:lncRNA from 1 species